UACGUAGGUGGCAAGCGUUGUCCGGAAUUAUUGGGCGUAAAGCGCACGUAGGCGGCUUAGCAAGUUGGAUGUGAAAGCCCUCGGCUUAACCAAGGAAGUGCAUCCAAAACUGCUGAGCUUGAGUAGUUAAGAGGAUCGCGGAAUUCCCGGUGUAGAGGUGAAAUUCGUAGAUAUCGGGAGGAACACCAGUGGCGAAGGCGGCGCUCUGGGAACAUACUGACGCUGAGGUGCGAAAGCGUGGGGAGCAAACAGG
rnacentral:rRNA from 1 species